GACGAACGCUGGCGGCGUGCCUAAUACAUGCAAGUCGAGCGAAGUGGAGGGAGCUUGCUCCCAAAGCUUAGCGGCGGACGGGUGAGUAACACGUAGGCAACCUGCCUGUAAGACUGGGAUAACUCCGGGAAACCGGAGCUAAUACCGGAUAGAUCCUUCGACCGCAUGGUCGAAGGCGAAAAGGACGUUGAUCCACUUACAGAUGGGCCUGCGGCGCAUUAGCUAGUUGGUGAGGUAACGGCUCACCAAGGCGACGAUGCGUAGCCGACCUGAGAGGGUGACCGGCCACACUGGGACUGAGACACGGCCCAGACUCCUACGGGUGGCAG
rnacentral:rRNA from 1 species